rnacentral:rRNA from 1 species
UACCUGCAGCUCGAGUGGUAACCGCUAUUAUUGGGCCUAAAGCGUCCGUAGCCGGUUUGGUAAAUAUCUGGGUAAAUCGUGAGGCUUAACUUCACGAAUUUCGGAUAGACUGCCAGACUUGGGAUCGGGGGAGGUCAGAGGUACUCCAGGGGUAGCGGUGAAAUGUUGUAAUCCUUGGAGGACCACCGGUAGCGAAGGCGUCUGACUAGAACGAGUCCGACGGUGAGGGACGAAGCCCUGGGGCGCAAACCGGAUUAGGAUACCCGGGUAGUCCAGGGUGUAAACGAUGUGGGCUUUGUAUUGGAGGUCCCACGUGGGCGUCCAGUGCAGAAGAGAAGUUGUUAAGCCCACCGCCUGGGAAGUACGGUCGCAAGGCUGAAACUUAAAGGAAUUGGCGGGGGAGCACAGCAACGGGAGGAGCGUGCGGUUU